UCGGCUUCUUGUUUGGUCGAAGUUGAACUCGACUUCUCAGAAUGUUCUUAAAAGAUGUUUUCUCGUUUUUUCUUGGUCUGGAGAUGCGGAUUUAAAAGUUUGCAGCUGACUAGAGAAAUGGUGAAGUUAUAACGCUGAAUUCAUCCUGCAACUGAUUCUGGCUUCCUGUUCAGCAAUAAAGGAAGUGGCAUCAGUGAAUCUUCAGGGCGACAGAGGAUCUCAUCAGCAGGGAAACGGCUGGUGGAAAUCUAAUGGCUUUGAGAAAGGAAGCCAGAGCGGAAACACGGCUGUUUGGAGGGACAAAAGCAGCGAGGUGAACAAAAUGCCCAUCGUGAUCCCAAAAGAAAGCUGCAUUUGCUCACAAAUUGGCGCUUUGUUAUGUAUGUUCUCAUUUUUAUUGA